rnacentral:rRNA from 1 species
GAUGAACGCUGGCGGCGUGCCUAAUACAUGCAAGUAGAACGCUGAAGGAGGAGCUUGCUCUUCUGGAUGAGUUGCGAACGGGUGAGUAACGCGUAGGUAACCUGCCUGGUAGCGGGGGAUAACUAUUGGAAACGAUAGCUAAUACCGCAUGACAACAGUUAUUGCAUGAUAACUGUUUAAAAGGGGCAACUGCUCCACUACCAGAUGGACCUGCGUUGUAUUAGCUAGUUGGUGAGGUAACGGCUCACCAAGGCGACGAUACAUAGCCGACCUGAGAGGGUGAUCGGCCACACUGGGACUGAGACACGGCCCAGACUCCUACGGGAGGCAGCAGUAGGGAAUCUUCGGCAAUGGGCGGAAGUCUGACCGAGCAACGCCGCGUGAGUGAAGAAGGUUUUCGGAUCGUAAAGCUCUGUUGUAAGGGAAGAACGAGUGUGAGAGUGGAAAGUUCACACUGUGGCGGUAUCUUACCAGAAAGGGACGGCUAACUACGUG